rnacentral:lncRNA from 1 species
CUUGGGCCGUUUGUUGUUUCUUUUUUGGGCUUGGCCCAACUAUCUUUCGAUUCGAUUUCGCGCUUUCGAUAGCCUCCUGGCAAAACCAAAACUGGACGUGUCCUCCACAGCCCUCGAAACGCUCUUUUGCUUCGACAUAGGUAGCUCUCGACACCACCUUUGAAAGUUUUAUUUUGACAAUAUAACCUCCAAAAUAAAUAUUGGACCCACCAAUUAUAUUUAAUUGAUAAAUACCAAAUUUAUGUCCAAC